ACGAAGGGGGCUAGCGUUGCUCGGAAUUACUGGGCGUAAAGCGCACGUAGGCGGAUUGCUAAGUCGGGGGUGAAAUCCCGGAGCUCAACUCCGGAACUGCCUUCGAUACUGGCGAUCUCGAGUCCGGGAGAGGUGAGUGGAACUCCGAGUGUAGAGGUGAAAUUCGUAGAUAUUCGGAAGAACACCAGUGGCGAAGGCGGCUCACUGGCCCGGUACUGACGCUGAGGUGCGAAAGCGUGGGGAGCAAACAG
rnacentral:rRNA from 1 species